CACAAAGCUGCUUCCUAUCUUUUGGCAGUCUCUUCUGCUGCUUUUGUGGUCCACAUGUUUGGGCAAACCUCUCCUGCGGCACUUUGGUGUUUGCCUUGCCCAACCUGAUUUCUCCUGUGUUCCAGAUCUGCAUGUACAAAUUGUUCUGCCUGGGCUGCCCUGCUCUGCCUCCCCUGCUUGAAGAUGCUUGCUAGUUUUAGAUUUCUUCUGUGGCUUUUCUCCAGUUCUCAGCUCACUCCAGUUGCCCAAGCCAAGCUAUACCUGUCCAGUCUCAAUGAUCGAGUGGUCACCUGGUUAUCCUUUGCCUGACUCUUCAUCUACCUGUGGUUAAUGGCCGGCCACCAUCCUGCCAGACCAGAGUCCAGGAACCUAUAUCUCGAAUGUUGCGGCUCCACCAGCACUACCCACCUCUGUGAGAAGCCUGCUAUCCACUCCACUGUUUGCCAAGUCUUCACAGCUACUCCACUCCUCCAGCUGCUGCCUCCCCUACAGACAGUUGCCUGCUACAUCUCUUCCAUUUGGCACUCUUGACCCUCUUGUACAAUAAAAUACUUUAAAUCUA